GACGAGGGAUCCUAGCGUUGUUCGGAAUCAUUGGGCGUAAAGCGGGUGUAGGUGGUCUGAUAAGUCAGAUGUGAAAGCCCAGGCUUAACCCUGGAAGUGCAUGAUGAUGACUGUCAGGCUUGAGUGUGGGAGAGGAUAGCAGAAUUCCUGGUGUAGUGGUGAAAUACGUAGAUAUCAGGAGGAAUACCGGAGGCGAAGGCGGCUAUCUGGCCCAACACUGACACUGAGACCCGAAAGCGUGGGGAUCAAACAGG
rnacentral:rRNA from 1 species